rnacentral:pre_miRNA from 1 species
GUUCAUCUGUGGGUGGGGAUUUGUUGCAUUACUUGUGUUUUAGAAAAAGUAUUGCACUUGUCCCGGCCUGUGGAAGAAAG